UAAUUUUCUCUUUUAUCUUUCAGGAUUUUAACAGAGAAGAAAAUCGGGCAACUAGUCAAUCCACACAACUUCAUAGUGGAUAUAUAUGCGACAUUCAACACCAAAUACCUGCUCUUCUUCGUCAUGGAGUAUGUACCAGGAGGCACCCUAAGAACUCACCUGAAGAAAAGUGGCCACUUCGACCUAGCGACAACGAAGUUCUAUGCUGCAUGUAUAACGCUCGGUCUUGAAGCCAUACACGCCAAGGAUGUUAUACACAGAGAUUUAAAACCGGACAAUCUCUUAAUGGAUGAAGACGGAUAUAUAAAAAUUGCAGAUUUUGGAUUGGGCAAAACAGGUAAGGGGG